CCUUUAACCGCCUAGGUCGAAUUAAUCCGACAAAUAUUUUCGGGCCCAUUUCGCCUGAGUCGUAUAUUUACGACCAAAAUAACACUGAUCGUUUUAUCAGCUUUUUUAUUUAAUUACGCUGUAUUCUAUCAAAAAUAUGUUUACAUUAGGUAAAUAGUUAACUAAGUAAUCGUUUACAGUUUAAUACACUUUAGCCUCUUAAUUAGAAGUCUUAAAAAUAAUGUCCAAAGUUAAAAGAAUUACUAACAUUAUUUUUAGAAAAUUGUAUUGAUGUGCAACGCCCAUGACGACAAAAUCCGACGUGAGGGACGAGACAUAUGCCAAGAUUUACCGAUACAAAAAUAAAAAUAAAUGAAAAUAUUUCUCGUUAUACUAACUAAUUAACUUUAAAUACAAUUACAGCAAUUGUUAAUAAAACAUUUUUUUACAAAUAUUUGUAAGUAUUUCAUUUAAUUCCUAUAGAAUUAAGCAAAUUUACUUGUGAAACGUCAGCGACUGAAUUGAUGGUACCCAUCCCUAGCCUACAUGUUCCGAAAAAUACUUCGUUAGUACGCCCAGCGCCACGGUCGGAUAAAGACGACCGCUUCUUACGUCAUUAAGGAGUGCCGACUUCUGGAAUUUUCUACCAGUGUUGUGCUUGUGCAUGUGGUUUUACGUUCAUAUGUCGAUAAAUGUACAUGUCAGAAAUUUAUCAUGACGACUACUGAAGAGUUAAUACGAAUUCUAGAAGGCGAUGAAAAUGAAGAAUUUUUAUCAGACGAAGAAGUGAAAUUUUUAUUUUUAUGUUUAUUGUUCAUUAGUGUGAUAUAAAUUGUGAUUGUGAUAAAUAUCGUUACCAUUUAAGUCUAUAUGUAAACUGAUAAUGUCCAAGAGUAACUUUUUUUAUUUUUAUUUUUGUUGUUAAUUGUUUAGUAGGCAGUGCGCGUUUCUUUAAGUACUCGUAUUCGAUCGUGUCAACGUUUACGUAGAUUUGUGGAACAUUUGUAGUUCCCGUUAUUGUCACCAGGCGUUACUUAAGUUUCAGUACAAAUCGAAGUUAACGUAGACACGAUCGACUACGUAUAAAAACUCGCACUAAAACUUAGGAGUAGGUAUAAAUCAAUACACAUAAGAACUCAUUACCUGUACCUACUUACUUUUGAGAAAUCAAUCGUUUUUCUUCUCUGGACUGAUUUUAUUUUGAAUAGCCUAAGUACGAAUUAAUAAAUCGUUCAAAUUUUCAAACA